GCUCCUAGUGGUUACGUACGAUACGAGGGUAUGGUACGUGUUCCCUUGUGUACUGGAUGGAGUUUUUUUUUCCCGGGUGGUGUAAUGGAUGUUACGUGUUGUCCCAGCUGCUACAAUGCUGCAGAGGAGAGGAGGUAAGCGGCCUGGCUUUUUUUUUUUGAACAAAAGCGGCCUGGCUGAAACAAGUAAUUGAAGGGACUUGGAAUGCCUUCCAUGCUUGAAAAAGAAAAAGAAGAGACUUUUCAUCGUGCCAUAACAUCCAGCUGACACCUACGUACUUGGCUUGGUCAAUCAUACGUGGAGGCCUACAUCACAGGUUUGCAGAAGAUGGAUUUCACAAUGCGAAAAAGUGAGGUAGACAAAGCUCGCUGGGAUGGAUUCUCAAGGAACAUAUAUAUUUUUAUGGCGGAACGGAACAGCUCUGGAGCAACUGACUAAUGUUGCUCUACUCUAAUCACCAGGCGGUAGGCCUGGCUAGCAAUCUCAAACUUUGAAUGUUGCUAUACUCUGCCACUGUUUGUUGGUGAUCACUGGUGUUCUUCUGCCCGAGGACGAGCAUGCUAUAUGUUCCCCGUCAGUUCCGAGGCGACCCCGUAAGAGAGGAGAGGACCCAGCAUCUUGGGCCUGCCUGCGGUAUGUUGGAGCUGCUGUGCCAUGGAAUGUUUCUGUUGUUGUGCAAACAUCAGGGGAUAUGUAGUAUGUAUGGUUUGUCAGCUAUCAACAUAAUAUCCACUGAUUGCCAUCCCUCCAUAAAUGCAAACUCCUCUAUACUACAUAUUCAGAUGA